CUAAAUAUUGACGGUAUAGGUGCCCUUGUGGGCUUAAUAGGGAAGUCGGUUUAAAUCCGGCGCGGUCCCGCCACUGUAAUGAGGAGCGAAUCCACAGUUAUGCCACUGAAAAUGAUUUUUCGGGAAGGUGUGGAUAAGUAAUGAUUCAAAGCCAGGAGAACUGCCUAUAUAGCAAUCGCCGU
rnacentral:ncRNA from 2 species